rnacentral:rRNA from 1 species
UGGUGGAGCAUGUGGUUUAAUUCGAUGCAACGCGAAGAACCUUACCUACUCUUGACAUCCAGAGAAUUCGCUAGAGAUAGCUUAGUGCCUUCGGGAACUCUGAGACAGGUGCUGCAUGGCUGUCGUCAGCUCGUGUUGUGAAAUGUUGGGUUAAGUCCCGCAACGAGCGCAACCCUUAUCCUUGUUUGCCAGCACAUAAUGGUGGGAACUCCAGGGAGACUGCCGGUGAUAAACCGGAGGAAGGUGGGGACGACGUCAAGUCAUCAUGGCCCUUACGAGUAGGGCUACACACGUGCUACAAUGGCGUAUACAGAGGGCUGCAAACUAGCGAUAGUAAGCGAAUCCCACAAAGUACGUCGUAGUCCGGAUUGGAGUCUGCAACUCGACUCCANGAAGUNGGAAUCGC